UACGGAGGGGGCGAGCGUUAUUCGGAAUUAUUGGGCGUAAAGGGCGCGUAGGCGGCCCGGUAAGUCAAAGGUGAAAUCCCUCGGCUCAACUGAGGAACUGCCUUUGAAACUGUCGGGCUUGAGGCCGGGAGGGGGUAGCGGAAUUCCCAGUGGAGCGGUGAAAUGCGUAGAGAUUGGAAAGAACACCGAUGGCGAAGGCACUUUACUGGGCUAUUACUAACACUCAGAGACGAAAGCUAGGGUAGCAAAUGGG
rnacentral:rRNA from 1 species